UCAAGACAAAAAAAACAAAUUAUUUCUUAUCUCCCUCUUUACACCAUAGCGCGACAAUCAAUCCCACAAAAUUUUCUUCUUCCAAUUUUAGAACUUCAAAUUGGAGAGAAAAUUAGGCAUAAUCUAUUUGAAUAUGAACAAUAAUUAAGCAAAAUAAAGAAAUCAAUUACAUUUUUGACAUCUGUUUAGCGCGCAGGAAAUUGGUCGAAGAAGCUGAACAUGAGGGUGCUUGAAUGGCAGAUGAUGAUGAUUGAUGAGGUUCUCGAUAAUAAGAAGAGCAGACGCCGAUUAAGGUUUCAGAAGUGACGUCAGCGAAUAUAUAAAGAAGAUGAUCUGAAGAAGCGAUGCCGCGAAUGUCUGAUUUGCACCGAAAGUGUAAAAAAAGUUCAUCUCCUUUUUAAGAACAUAUGUGAGACCAAAAAUGAAAUUUGCACAAAAAAAUAACAAAUAAAAGAUAAAAAUGAAAUCCCCUGCUCAUCAACCAAGAAAGAAAUCAAAACCAUUAGUUGAAGCUAUCAUCUUCUUCUCAAUAAUUGUAACCUAGAUCAUCAACUCAUUAGCAUAUUUCAUACCCAAACACACACCGAAUCCAAUUAAAACAAAUCUCAACCCUAAACACCAUAGAACCCAUAAGCACAACUCAAUAUCUCGGCGAGAACGAAUAACUCUUUGAUCAUGGUGUCGAUCUCUCAUCGUUGCGCUACAGAUCUGGACAUUUGGGACUCUAUUCUUCACUUUUCUUUUAAUUUCAGCGAAUUAGCGACAUGAUUUUUUGUAUUUGCUACUGAUGGUUGGUAGUUUGAUCUUGCGAUGAGUUUGAACAAUUGAAGGAUUUGGGAGAAGAAAAGAUUAAGAUUUAGAUUUGAUGCUUCAUCUAUUUGGGGUUUUUUUUAGUUUAGGAUAAUCUUUUUGUUGUUAAUCAGAUUCAUGUUUUUCAAAAAUUGUUCAAAGUCUAUUUAAUUU
rnacentral:lncRNA from 1 species